CGUGGUUUCCCGCGUUGCCUUUAAACACGUCGGCUCUUUCCUAGCCGUUCUGCGUCCACUAGCAUGAUCGCAGGGGCGUGGCCUUCCAGCCCGCCGGCUAGGGAUCCAGCGGGGACCCGCCUCCCGGAGAACAGCCGCGGAGUCCGGGCCCCGCCCCCGCCUCGGCCACGCCCCCGCCUCGGCCCGCCGCCCAGCUUUACGGCGGAGGACGCGCCGCGACGUGGGCGGCCGUGAAGCGCCCCCGCCCCACCCCCGGCAUCAGCGUCCCGGAGCGGAGCGGCCUCCCGGCGCCUCCCGCGCUCCCCGAGCCGCAGGCCCGCACGAUGGCCGGCCUCGCGCCGCGGGUUGACUACCUGGCGGGCUUCUGCUGCCCGCUCGGGGGCCUGGCGGCGGGCAAGCCCCGCGUGCUGUGCCUCGGGGCGGAGAUCUUCCUGUCCACCGGGAGCGAGCUGGUCUACGUCUACGACCAGGAGGCGGGGCUGCUGACCGCGGUGUACAGGUUUCCGGGUCAGGUGUGGCACCUGGAGCUUCUGGCCCUUCGCAGGGCGCUUUACGUCCUGUGCGCCCACAGGGGCAUCUACUGCUUGUCGUUGGACCAGGCGAUCAGGUCUGUGAGCCAGGAUGACGGGGACGAUGGGGACAGUGAGGACAGUCAGGACGGUGAGUCCCCUUCCCGUGUGAUCCCUGUGGAUCCAGACGCCUGUGUCCUCCAUGAUGCCACGCUGUGCACUUUCACCGUGCUCGACAAUUUGCUCAUCACCUUAGCACAGGGCCCCGCCCGGUGGAAGGUGCAGCUGUUCGAGUGUCCCUGUCCAGGAGAGGACCCUCGGCUCAAAGGCCAGAUCGGUGAGGUGGAGUUGUCCACCCCCCCAGCUGGGAGUCCGAGAGAGCCUGCAGCCCCCUACUUCCUCCCAGUGCUGUGCUGCAUGUCACCGCCAGGCUCCAGAGUCGCACACAGCCACCUGCACGGCUCCAGGGGCUUCACGCUGGAGGAGACCCUCUUUGGGCUACUCUUUGGAACUGAUGCCUCCCUCCUGGAGUCACCCGUGAUCCUCUGUGGUCUCCCCGAUGGCCAGCUUUGCUGUGUGGUCCUGCAGACCCUGGUCACCUCUGGGUUGGCCCCUGGUGACUCGAAGGCUCUUGUCAAGAUCCUCCAUCACCUGGAGGAGCCCGUCGUCUUCAUUGGGGCCUUGAGGACAGAGCCACUGGCUGAGAACGUGGAAGACUCACACUCCGACUGCCUGGUGGCACUUGGUCAUCAUGGCCGGACACUGGCUGUCAAGGCCAGCUGGGAUGAGGCUGGGAAUCUGGUGCCAGAGCUGCGGGAGUACUGCCUCCCGGGGCCUGUGCUCUGUGCAGCCUGCGGCGGGGGCGGCCGCAUGUACCACAGCACCCCCUCGGACCUCUGUGUGGUAGACCUGGCUCGGGGAGGCACUCCCUGGGACCCCAUGCAGCCGGACAGGGGCCCAGGAGGCUUGCCCUCUCUGCUGUGUCCAGCGAGCUUGAGUGUCUGCAGCGUCGUCACCCUGUCUGUGUCGUCUAGGGCACCUGAAGGUGGCACUGAGCUCUUGGCCCUGUCUGCCAAAGGCCGCCUGAUGACCUGCAGGCUGGACCUGAACUCUGAGACGCCUUCCCCUACCAGAGUGACCGCAGCAAACACUGGCCGAAAAAUCAAGGAAUUGCUCUCUGGAAUUGGCACCGUCUCUGAGAGAGUGUCUUUUCUGAAGAAGGCAGUUGACCAGCGGAACAAGGCUCUGACGUGCCUCAAUGAAGCCAUGAACGUGAGCUGUGCCCUGCUGUCAAGCCGGGAGGGCCCCAGGCCCAUCUCAUGUACCACCACCACCACCUGGAGCCGCCUGCAGCUGCAGGACAUGCUUACGGCCACCUGCCUGCUGGAGAACAGCAGCGACUUCAGCCUGGACCGGGGCUGGGCCUUGUGCAUCCAGGUGCUCACCAGCUCCCAGGCCUUGGAGCUGGACUCGGCCAGCUCAGCGGUCACCUACACCAUCCCCGUGGACCGGCUCGGCCCUGGCAGUCGGCGGGAGGUGACGCUGCCCCUGGGCCCUGGCGAGGACGGCAUGCUCGAUCUGCCUGUGACCGUGUCCUGCGCACUCUUCUACAGCCUCCGGGAGGUCGUGGGCGGGGCCCUCACCCCCUCAGACUGUUCCAAGGACCCCUCCUUGGAUAUGUGCCCCCUUGAUGUCCUGCCUGAGCAGGAGGGCAUCUGCCUGCCCCUGAGUGAGCACACGGUGGACAUGUUGCAGUGUCUGCGCUUCCCCAGCCUGGCCACACCCCACAUGCAGGCCCCCAGCCUGCUCAGCCCAGUCAGUGACCCUGUGGACACCUUCCUGGGAGCUUGCCUUGGGCCAGGCAGCAAGCUGGCUGGACCUGCGUCUCUGCGGGCCGCCUACCUGCCUCCAUCAGUGGCCGCCAUCAAGGUGUCAGCGGAGCUGCUGAGGGCCACCGUGGGGGACAGUUACUCAGGCGUGUCCUUAUGCUGUGCCACCCUGCAGUGGCUCCUGGCCGAGAAUGCUGCUGUGGACAUCGUGAGGGCCCGAGCACUGUCCUCUGUGCAGGGAGUGGCCCCAGAUGGCACCAACGUCCACCUCAUCAUCCGCGAGGUGGCGGUGACCGACCUGUGUCCGGCAGGGCCUCUCCAGGCCGUGGAAAUCCAGGUGGAGAGCUCCUCUCUGGCCAACAUGUGCCAGGCACACCACGCUAUCAUCGGGCGUAUGCAGGCCCCACCCCGGACCCUGAGAAUCAGAGGACCUGAGAGCUGAGCUUUAACAAGGAUCUGAGGGCUGUUGUUCGAGACCCACUGGAACUGAGCUGCAAUGGGACGCCCUGCACCAGCCUGGGUGGGUGCCACUCGACAGCUGAGAUGGGUGACCCUGAUGAUCAUGUCACGUGGCACUGUGACCCCACUGAGACCCUGAUGACCAUGUCACACAGUGCCGUGACCCUGCUGUGACUCUUAUGCUCUGGUUACCCAGCACUGUGACUGUGACCCUGCUGAGAUCACAGUGCCAUGGUGAGCCUGCUCAGGAAUUUAGGCCUGAGCACUUUGAGUCGUCAAGGUGGUCUCUGGGGCAGUGGUACCACUUGUCAGGGCUCUGCCCACUAGGGACACCCAUUCCCCAGAAUGGGUCCCUCUCCCUGCCGAGAGCAGAGCUCCAGCACCUGCAUUUCUCUGCCCCAGAGAGGAGCCACGUGCAUCAUUGGCAUGCUCUCCCUGGGCCUGGAGUGUUGGGCCAUCUGCAGACUGUGCCAAGUGUGGCGGCCACGAGGUGGACAGUAGCGUGAAGCCGGGGGAAGGAGCGUGCUGAGCGGACUUCCAGCAAGAAGUGGGGGGUGGUUAGUGUCCUGGGGCAGCCGUGACAAAGCAGCACAGAUGGGGCACGAACAACAGGAAAGCGGGGCUGGAGGCUGGCAGUCCGCGAUCUGGGUGCCGGCAGGGUUGGUUCCUCUGAGGCCUCUCCGUGGCGUGCAGACGGCCGUCACCUCCCUGUGUCCCUAUGUGGUCAUCCUUCUGUGCAUGUCUGUCUCCUAAUCUCUUGUCAUGAGGACACCAGUCAGAUUGGCUUAGGGCCCAGCCACGACCUCACCAGCCUCAUCACCGGCAGAGACCUUGUCUGUGAACACAGUAGUGUGCUGAGGUACUGGACUUGGGGCUUCUGUGUGUGAACGCCGGCGGGCACAGCUCAGCCCCUGAUAGUGCUGUAGACGCUCCCCGGAUGGGGGUUCACGCGGGCCUCACACCUGUCCGUCCUCCAUCAGCCAACGCCGAGCUCUGUGUUGUGGGGGUUCCUGUAACAGCAUUCGUCACCUGGCCACAUGGAACAGUCAGGACCCUGCCAGGUGUGCAGCGUCCACCAUGGGCCGGCCCCUCCUGCUGCCCAUCAGGGUGUCGGGAUCUCUUCUCAGCACUUUGUUCCCAAGGCCAGUGGGGGCCUCGCUGCCUAGAGCUGCCUGGGAGCUUGGGUCUGAGCUCCAGGAGCCGCCGGGCUUCCUCCAGAAAGCGGGAUGUGGAGCAGCCUCUGUGUGGGCCGUGCUGAGUGGAUCCGCCAGGGGGACAGCUCCAGGGGCCGCCUGAGACGGGGCAGGAGGAGCGGGCACUGAGGCCUGAAGCUAAAGAUGGGAGAAGGGGUGGCUCUGUGGGGCCAAGGCGGUGGGGAGCAGAGGGGAAAGGCCUGAAACUUUCUUCCAACGGAUGGUCGUCGAGCAGGCCGCCCGGGGAUCCAGCCCGCCUGACCUCCGUAUGCAGUAUCUCUACCAGAUCCAGGCCAACCACGAGAUGCUGCUGCGGGAGGUGCAGACCCUGCGUGACCGGCUGUGCACGGAGGACGAAG